rnacentral:rRNA from 1 species
CAGCCGCCGCGGGAAUACGUAGGGUGCAAGCGUUAAUCGGAAUUACUGGGCGUAAAGCGCACGCAGGCGGUCUGACAAGUCAGAUGUGAAAUCCCCGGGCUUAACCUGGGAACUGCAUUUGAAACUGUCAGGCUGGAGUCUUGUAGAGGGGGGUGGAAUUCCAGGUGUAGCGGUGAAAUGCGUAGAGAUCUGGAGGAAUACCGGUGGCGAAGGCGGCCCCCUGGACAAAGACUGACGCUCAGGUGCGAAAGCGUGGGGAGCAAACAGGAUUAGAUACCCCAGUAGUCCCUGUCUCUUAUAA